GCAAUACUGAACUUUAACACGCAAACAUAUAAUUUUAUGUCAGAAGUAAUUAAAUAAAUUCAAAAAUAUAUAUUUUUCGUACUCACUUGCAAUGUGCUCGUUAUGGAAGGCCAACAUUUGGUCGUCUGUUUAUUUUUACCGUUUAAAUUGCAAAAUACGAUACACAAGUUUUGCGUUUGAAGCAAAUUUUUUUAGUUUAACCGUAAUCACCGUGAAAUACCGUAAAAUUAAACGCGAAACCGAAACCGUAUUUAAGCUAAACACAGUAUACCGUUAUAUUACCGAAAACGCGAGAAUUUAGCAAUAUGUAUUUUUUCACAGAUUAAGCUUUAUGCAAAAACUAAUAGCGCUUUUUUGCUUUCGCGCAGCUGUCACCGGUGGACGGUCACUCUAUGCUCCCAAUUAUUUUGCUGAAACGCGUAAAUUAUGCUGACAUCUUUGUAGUACUUUUGAGCAACAACAGCAGCAAACGCUUGCACCUGCAAAGAGAAAAAAGAGAGAGUGUGUGAGUGAGUGAGUGAAAUCAACGCUUUAGUUAUGUUUAAGAAAAUUUAGUUGCUGUAAAAAACGUGAAAAAUUCUGUUCGUAAGUUGAAAGAAUUGCGACAAAAGUUUGCGCUAAGAAAAAAUUGCAUAAAAUUUGCUUACGAAAGUUUGUCGCUUACGGCUAUAAAAUGUACCGAAAGUCAGACAAACGACAAAUAAGGCAAGCGCGUUUAAAAAAAUCUGAAGCGCUUAAAGCACCACAUUUUUAGCUGGCUGUUGGACAAAUUUUUACUUUCCGGCACUGGAGAGAUAUGCAACGCUGCUUUGUUUUUGUUUGUGUGCGCGAAUGUUUCUGUAUUAUGUCAACUGCAUUACCGUUAAGAGAAUGCUUGCAGUAGUUGUACCGGUGAGCAAAAGAAAUAUUGUCACUGCUUAGGCGCAGACACAAGUCAAGUUUAAAAAGUUCGAGACAAUAAACUCGCAUAAGUAUUUAUUACUCCAAUAUAUAUCGUUGCCUACAUUUUAUAUUAUAAGAUAAGGAUACUGGGCUUUCACACAUAUCACCUUGAAUGUCAAAGGUAGAUUCAGAGAGCCAUUCGGAACUUUUAUUGGUAAAAACUUGUGAGAGAAGAAAGCAGCUGUAACAUUUAUUAUUUAACAUAUGUAUAUUAAUACUUAGUAUACUUACAUACAUACAUACUUAAAAGUAAUUAAUAUUCCAACUUAACCUAACCUCAAAAUGUGAGAUAAAAAAUUUUCAAAAAAAAUUCAGUUACUGCGCUUGUUGUAAGCAACAUUAAAAAAUUCUGUCCCAAGAGAUUUUGGAAAUAAAUAUUUAAACAUACUUUUUACAGGGAUAAAUAUAACUGUGUAACUAUGAAAAAUGUAAAAAUAUAAAUUUCAGUUAAAAAAAAUGUUUUAAAUAUUAAUAUUUCACAUUUCGCAUUUGUAACACAUGGCCAGCAAAAAUUACCCAAGCAUAAAACCGAGUUUAAAUUCAGAUUAAAAACCAUUUCACAUGCAACCCUGCUGAUACAAAAUUCAUGAAAAAUAAAAAAAAACACAGUGUUCCCCAAGCAGCAACUGCAAAAAAAUUACAAAAUCGUGUUUACAAUUAUUAUCGUUGCGGCUACAAAUUUCUCAAAAAAAAAAGCGCAUAACUAGCAACAACAACAUCGGCGCAAAAAACUAUAAUUUGUGGCAAGUAAAAUGCCACACGCAACAAAUAACAAAAAUUGCGACAAAUUUGUAGCAAACGCGCGCCACGCGGCAACAUGCGGCAAUUAGAGUAGAAAAAUUGAAAUUUUUUCAACACUCGGCAACACCAUAACAAAAGUGGGAAUAAAAUAAAUUUUUACAAGCAAUUUGCAACAUAUUCGUAAUAUAUGGCAAUUGUUGAAGGAGAAACAAAAAACGCACAGACAAGCCAAUGCUUUUUCACGCACUUUUCAUGCACAACACUGAGGCGGCACGCAAUUGUUGUAAUUAUUAUUGUUGUGCGAUUAUAAUACUCGUUAUUUUUUGUGUUUUUGUUGCCCACGCUACAAAUCGAGCAGCUAUAACCACGCACUUAAAUCAUCCACAUCCUUAAUGUGUCCUCGCAGCCAGUAAUCGCACACACACACACACCACCUCACAGCUGCGCAAGUACGUAUUCAAGGUAGCAGCAGCAACGACAGCAAUUCAACGUCCCGCAGCAAUGUCCAGCAGCAAUAACUGUUAAAGUGACAGUCAUAAAAACUACCAUCAACCACAAUAAUGGGCGAUGGGCGACGCCGACGGAACUGCGCUGUGUCCUUGCGUAUUUAUUGGCCAUCAGCUAUACUAUAUUUUAUCCGUUUAAAUGGCUGUGCAGCGGUUGCUAUCUAUCAACUUCAGGCAUCAUCAAGCAGAAAAUCAUACGUAAUAUUUUUUACGAUGCUCUGCGGCAAGUGAAAUACGUACAACAACAAUAGCAACACGGUUAUAGUUGGUGUAGGAUGCGUGGCAAUUUGUUAGCGGUGGAAGGAAAUUGGCUUAUUGGUACGAAAUCACUAUUGAGAAGUGUUUAAUUUUUUUAAAUUUCAGAUUUGUUUUCAUUUGUGGUUUUCUUCAAAGAUUUUGUGCUUCAAAUGCUGAC